AGUGAACGCUGGCGGUAGGCCUAACACAUGCAAGUCGAACGGCAGCACAGUAAGAGCUUGCCCUUCCGGGUGGCGAGUGGCGGACGGGUGAGGAAUACAUCUGAAUCUACUUUUUCGCGGGGGAUAACGUAGGGAAACUUACGCUAAUACCGCAUACGACCUACUGGUGAAAGCAGGGGAUCUUCGGACCUUUCGCGAUUGAAUGAGCCGAUGUCGGAUUAGCUAGUUGGCGGGGUAAAGGCCCACCAAGGCCACGAUCCGUAGCUGGUCUGAGAGGAUGAUCAGCCACACUGGAACUGAGACACGGUCCAGACUCCUACGGGAGGCAGCAGUGGGGAAUAUUGGACAAUGGGCGCAAGCCUGAUCCAGCCAUGCCGCGUGGGUGAAGAAGGCCUUCGGGUUGUAAAGCCCUUUUGUUGGGAAAGAAAAGCAGCAGGUUAAUACCCCGCUGUUCUGACGGUACCCAAAGAAUAAGCACCGGCUAACUUCGUG
rnacentral:rRNA from 1 species